GGGGAAUUAGGGUUCGAUUCCGGAGAGGGAGCCUGAGAAACGGCUACCACAUCUAAGGAAGGCAGCAGGCGCGCAAAUUACCCAAUCCUAAUACAGGGAGGUAGUGACAAGAAAUAACAAUACAGGACUUUACGGUUUUGUAAUUGGAAUGAGUUAAGUAUAAACCCCUUUACAAGUAUCAAUUGGAGGGCAAGUCUGGUGCCAGCAGCCGCGGUAAUUCCAGCUCCAAUAGCGUAUAUUAAAGUUGUUGCAGUUAAAAAGCUCGUAGUUGGAUUUCUGUUAAUACCUUAUAUAUAAUAUUUUUUUUUUAAAUAUUAAUAUGUAAGAUUAACAUAAUUCAUAUUUUUUAAGACUGAAUUUUUAGUUUUGAUAAUAUGAAAUUUUACUUUGAGAAAAUUAGAGUGCUUAAAGCAGGCUUUUGCCUUGAAUACUCCAGCAUGGAAUAAUAAUAAAAGAUUUUUAUCUUUUUUUUAUUGGUUCUAAGAUAAAAAUAAUGAUUAAUA
rnacentral:rRNA from 1 species